AAAGAUUUAAAUGCCAAAAAAUAAAAUAUUUAUUAAAAAUCAAAAUUCAAUGUGAGAUUUUGCAUUGAAAUUAUUGAAAAUUGGACUAAUAAUAGCGAUUGAUUCGUCAAAUUCCUGUACUCUGUUUCAUUUUUAGCUUUGAAAAGGCAAAAACAGUACAUAUACCUACUGGUCAUUAAAGCCGGAACUUAAAUUAUACCAACCGGCUUUUAUAUUAUCGAUUGAACAAUCCAUUUGAUUCAAUUUUGACGUCCAAAAAUUGGUGGAGAAUAAUGUAGAAACUAAUGUAUUAAUUACAACUAAAUCUUAUAUCAUGGAAUUAAGUUGUUCGAAUAGAAUAAGGAUCAAUGACUUCAAAAGUUUAGCUGGCAAAACUGUUUUUUUUUAAUUUAGAGAAAAAUACCGCAAUCGGAGUAAUGAUAGCAAUAAAUUAUUUAAGAAAUUGUAAUAUUAAAUUCAUAUUAUAACAUAUUUUAUAUAAAAUUAUUGUAUUUAUCUUAUUAAUUAAAAAUUUGUUCACAUAUUACAUGUAAAUAAAUCAAGAAC